rnacentral:rRNA from 1 species
AUUGAACGCUGGCGGCAGGCCUAACACAUGCAAGUCGAGCGGAUGAAGGGAGCUUGCUCCUGGAGUCAGCGGCGGACGGGGGAGUAAUGCCUAGGAAUCUGCCUGGUAGUGGGGUAUAACGUCCGGAAACGGGCGCUAAUACCGCAUACGUCCUGAGGGAGAAAGUGGGGGAGCUUCGGACCUCACGCUAUCAGAUGAGCCUAGGUCGGAUUAGCUAGUUGGUGGGGUAAAGGCCUACCAAGGCGACGAUCCGUAACUGGUCUGAGAGGAUGAUCAGUCACACUGGAACUGAGCCACGGUCCAGACUCCUACGGGAGGCCGCAGUGGGGAAUAUUGGACAAUGGGCGAAAGCCUGAUCCAGCCAUGCCGCGUGUGUGACGAAGGUCUUCGGAUUGUAAAGACCUUUAAGUUGGGAGGAAGGGCAGUAAGUUAAUACCUUGCUGUUUUGACGUUACCAACAGAAUAAGCACCGGCUAACUUCGUG